rnacentral:tRNA from 4 species
GGUAGGGUGGCCGAACGUUAGGCGGCGGGUUGUAGCUCCGUGAAUAGAGGUUUAAGUCCUCUCCUUAUCA